rnacentral:lncRNA from 1 species
UAUGGAGGUUCAUUGUCUGGAAUAGGCCUCUCUACGAUCUCAUUCUCUUGCUCAACGAUUUCAUUAUCGGGCACUACGAUCAUAGUAUUGGGCUCGACGACCUCGUUCGUAGUGUCUGAACUGUUAGUCACAUUGUCUUGGAACACUGUUUUGUCUAAGUCCAUUUAAGAUUCCUUCAUCUGAUUUCGGUUGAAUCUUUGUCAAGUACUGCUUUCCAUUGUUAAGUAUGUAGCAUGCACAGCCGAACACAUGAAAGUAGCUGACAUUUGGCUUUCUUCCUUUCCAAAGUUCAUAAGGAGUCUUCUU